GCCCUACGGGGGGCAGCAGUGGGGAAUAUUGCACAAUGGGGGAAACCCUGAUGCAGCGACGCCGCGUGAGUGAAGAAGUAUUUCGGUAUGUAAAGCUCUAUCAGCAGGGAAGAUAAUGACGGUACCUGACUAAGAAGCCCCGGCUAACUACGUGCCAGCAGCCGCGGUAAUACGUAGGGGGCAAGCGUUAUCCGGAUUUACUGGGUGUAAAGGGAGCGUAGGUGGCAGGGCAAGUCUGAUGUGAAAACCCGGGGCCCAACCCCGGGAGUGCAUUGGAAACUGCCAGGCUGGAGUGUCGGAGGGGG
rnacentral:rRNA from 1 species